CCAAUAGCGUAUAUUAAAGUUGUUGCAGUUAAAAAGCUCGUAGUUGAAUUUCGGGGUUAGUAGGUUGGUCAUGCCUCUGGUAUGUACUGGUCUCACUGAUUCCUCCUUCCUGAUGAACCGUAAUGCCAUUAAUUUGGUGUUGCGGGGAAUUUGGACUGUUACUUUGAAAAAAUUAGAGUGUUUAAAGCAAGCUAACGCUUGAAUACAUUAGCAUGGAAUAAUGAAAUAGGACGUUCGAUCCUAUUUUGUUGGUUUCUAGGAUUGACGUAAUGAUUAAUAGUGAUAGUUGGGGGCAUUAGUAUUCAAUUGUCAGAGGUGAAAUUCAUGGAUUUAUUGAAGACUAACUACUGCGAAAGCAUUUGCCAAGGAUGUUUUCAUUAAUCAAGAACGAAAGUUAGGGGAUCGAAGACGAUCAGAUACCGUCGUAGUCUUAACCAUAAACUAUGCCGACUAGGGAUCGGAUGAUGUUAAUUUUUUAAUGACUCAUUCGGCGCCUUACG
rnacentral:rRNA from 1 species